CCUACGGGAGGCAGCAGUGGGGAAUUUUGGACAAUGGGCGCAAGCCUGAUCCAGCUAUUCCGCGUGUGGGAAGAAGGUCUUCGGGUUGUAAACCACUUUUGGAGAGAACGAAAAGUCUGUUGAUAAUACCGAUAGAUGAUGACGGUACUCUAAGAAUAAGCACCGGCUAACUACGUUCCAGCAGCCGAGGUAAUAAGUAGGGUGCGAGCGUUAAUCGGAAUUACUGGGCGAAAAUGGUGUGCAGGCGGUUUUGCAAGAUGGAUGUGAAAGCCCCGGGCUUAACCUGGGAAAUCCAUACAUGACUGCAAGACUAGAGUGCGUCAGAGGGGGGUGGAAUUACAAGUGGAGCAGUGAAAUGCGUAGAUAUUUGGAAGAACCCCGAUGGCGAAGGCAGCCCCCUGGGACGCAACUGACGCUCAUACACGAAAGCGUGGGGAGCAAACAGGAUUAGAUACCCCUGUAGUC
rnacentral:rRNA from 1 species